rnacentral:rRNA from 1 species
CAUGCAAGUCGAACGAAGUAGCAAUACUUAGUGGCAGACGGGUGAGUAACAUGUAGGUAUCUGCCCUUUGGCCUGGAAUAACACGAGGAAACUUGUGCUAAUACCGGAUAAGUCUUUACGGAGAAAGCUUUAUGCACCAUUGGAUGAGCCUGCACUUGAUUAGUUUGUUGGUGGGGUAAUGGCCUACCAAGACUGUGAUCAAUAGCUGAUUUGAGAGGAUGAUCAGCCACAUUGGGACUGAGACACGGCCCAAACUCCUACGGGAGGCAGCAGUGGGGAAUCUUGCACAAUGGAGGAAACUCUGAUGCAGCGAUGCCGCGUGAGUGAAGAAGGCCUUUGGGUUGUAAAGCUCUUUCGUCGGGGAAGAAAAUGACUGUACCCGAAUAAGAAGGUCCGGCUAACUUCGUGCCAGCAGCCGCGGUAAUACGAAGGGACCUAGCGUAGUUCGGAAUUACUGGGCUUAAAGAGUUCGUAGGUGGUUGAAAAAGUUGGUGGUGAAAUCUCAGAGCUUAACUCUGGAACUGCCAUCAAAACUUUUCAGCUAGAGUAUGAUAGAGGAAAGCAGAAUUUCUAGUGUAGAGGUGAAAUUCGUAGAUAUUA